ensembl:lncRNA
CAUGGCAGGGUCAAUGAGGAUGGAGGGCUGCUCACUCCACCUCCAACACGUCUGAACAGACACUGCUGCACAGAGGAUAAGAAAGGGUAUCGCCAUCCAUCUCACAGAGGCCACAAAUCUGCUCCUCCACUCCUCACGACUGAAAAGGGUGAGCCAGCAGCCGAAAACUAGCAAACUUGAGGAUGGGGAGAAACCAGAGGGAUUGCGAAUGAGUUGGCAGCCAACUCCAACACCGCCUCUUCCCGAAAGUGGACG